rnacentral:miRNA from 7 species
AGGUCAUCUAGUCCAACUUCCCUGCAAUGAA